GAACCUAAUAUUCCAUUUUAACAACUGCAUUUGAAGUCUCCAUUGACAAUGCCGACGAUCCAUAUUGGAGCCAAUCCUUAGCACAAACAAGGGCUUCAAGUGUCACAGGUCGCAAUGAACUCCGGUAGCUAUCUAUCUUUUUACUUCCAGUGUCAAAUACAGAGUCUGGAGCAACAGUAGAAAUUGGUACUGACAAAAUAUCAGCAGCCAUCUUAGAGA
rnacentral:misc_RNA from 1 species